rnacentral:rRNA from 1 species
UUCCAUGGUAACAGCAGUUGGACAUGGGUCAGUCGAUCCUAAGAGAUAGGGAAACUCCGUUUUAAAGUGCACGAUUCUUCGCGCCGCCUAUCGAAAGGGAAUCCGGUUAAAAUUCCGGAACCAGAAUGUGGAUUCUUAACGGCAACGUAAAUGAACUUGGAGACGUUGGCAAGGGCCCCGGGAAGAGUUAUCUUUUCUCCUUAACAGUUUGAAACCUUGAAAUCAGUUUAGCUGGAGCUAAGGUUUAAUGACUGGUAGAGCACAGCACUUCUGUUGUGUCCGGUGCGUUCUUGACAAUCCUUGAAAAUCCAAGGGAAUGAAUAAUUUUCACAUCUGGUCGUACUCAUAACCGCAGCAGGUCUCCAAGGUGAACAGCCUCUAGUUGAUAGAACAAUGUAGAUAAGGGAAGUCGGCAAAUUAGAUCCGUAACUUCGGGAAAAGGAUUGGCUCUAAGGGUUGGGUAUAUUGGGCCUUGGUCAAAUGCUCUGGGACUCGGCUAGGACUGUUUGGGGGGCAACCUUUAGACGGACUUGGCUAGGACUCGGAUGUGGACGGCCUUGGCUGCUCUUCGGGGCGUCUGGUAUACGCUUAACAACCGACUUAGAACUGGUACGGACAAGGGGAAUCUGACU